AGAGUUUGAUCCUGGCUCAGAUUGAACGCUGGCGGAAUGCUUUACACAUGCAAGUCGAACGGCAGCACGGGGGCUUGCUCCUGGUGGCGAGUGGCGAACGGGUGAGUAAUACAUCGGAACGUACCCUGAAGUGGGGGAUAACGUAGCGAAAGUUACGCUAAUACCGCAUAUUCUGUGAGCAGGAAAGAGGGGGAUCGCAAGACCUCUUGCUUUAGGAGCGGCCGAUGUCGGAUUAGCUAGUUGGUGGGGUAAAGGCCCACCAAGGCGACGAUCCGUAGCGGGUCUGAGAGGAUGAUCCGCCACACUGGAACUGAGACACGGUCCAGACUCCUACGGGAGGCAGCAGUGGGGAAUUUUGGACAAUGGGCGCAAGCCUGAUCCAGCCAUGCCGCGUGAGUGAAGAAGGCCUUCGGGUUGUAAAGCUCUUUCGGUGGGGAAGAAAUUGCUUGGGUUAAUACCCUGAGUAGAUGACGGUACCCGCAUAAGAAGCACCGGCUAACUACGUG
rnacentral:rRNA from 1 species